rnacentral:lncRNA from 1 species
AGCUACAGCGACACAGCAACCACAAAACCCAGAACCACUGCAGGCUGCACUUGUGGUUUGUUGACAGGGACGCUUGGGAACAACCCCUCUGCAGAGAAAGGACAUAUCUGGGACUCCAUGAGGAGGACAGCUCUCAUCCUGGGCUUGGGGCUGCUCUUGUUGGCUGCCUUCUGGAACUCAAUCACAUGGUUUCCAACAUGUUGCCAGUUAUGGUGGGUCCUCUAGCAAUGGGCUCUCACUUGUCUUCUAUUACCGUGUGGUUAUCCCUGGUUCUCAUCGUCAGCUCGAUCACCCACUGUGGCUACCACUUACCCUUCCUGCCUUCACCUGAGUUCCAUGACUACCACCAUCUCAAGAUCUGGACCUUCUGAAUCUUGGGAGCCUUGAAUCUUCUCCUCAGAACCCAUGUACAUAAAAACCUGACACACUGAAUGAAGCAUCUUAGUUUUGAGACAGGGUUUCUCUAUGUAGUUCUGGGUGUCCUAAAACUUAAUAUAUGAGACCUUGCUGGUCUCAAACUC